AAGCUAUGAGGUUUAAUACUGUUUAUUUGUGGAAUAAAAGAUCUCAACAUUUUAGAGAUAGCUUC
rnacentral:tRNA from 1 species